GGAUUGCCCCAGUAACGGCGAGUGAAGCGGCAACAGCUCAAAUUUGAAAUCUGGCCCCCGGGUCCGAGUUGUAAUUUGCAGAGGAUGCUUCGGGCGAGGUGCCUUCCGAGUUCCCUGGAACGGGACGCCACAGAGGGUGAGAGCCCCGUCUGGUCGGACACCGAGCCCGUGUGAAGCUCCUUCGAAGAGUCGAGUAGUUUGGGAAUGCUGCUCAAAAUGGGAGGUAUAUGUCUUCUAAAGCUAAAUAUUGGCCAGAGACCGAUAGCGCACAAGUAGAGUGAUCGAAAGAUGAAAAGCACUUUGAAAAGAGGGUUAAAAAGUACGUGAAAUUGUUGAAAGGGAAGCGCCCAUGACCAGACUUGGGCCCGGUGAAUCACCCGGCGUUCUCGCCGGUGCACUUUGCCGGGCACAGGCCAGCAUCAGUUUGGCGCGGGGGACAAAGGCUUCGGGAACGUGGCUCCCUCGGGAGUGUUAUAGCCCGCUGCGUAAUACCCUGCGCCGGACUGAGGUACGCGCAUCGCAAGGAUGCUGGCGUAAUGGUCAUCAGCGACCCGUCUUGAAACACGGACCAAGGAGUCGUCUUCGUAUGCGAGUGUUCGGGUGUCAAACCCCUACGCGGAAUGAAAGUGAACGCAGGUGAGAGCUUCGGCGCAUCAUCGACCGAUCCUGAUGUUCUCGGAUGGAUUUGAGUAAGAGCAUACGGGGCCGGACCCGAAAGAAGGUGAACUAUGCCUGUAUAGGGUGAAGCCAGAGGAAACUCUGGUGGAAGCUCGCAGCGGUUCUGACGUGCGAAUCGAUCGUCAAAUAUGGGCAUGGGGGCGAAA
rnacentral:rRNA from 1 species